UCUCAGUCGGUAAAGAAUCUGCCUGCAGUGCAGGAGACCUGGGUUCAAUUCCUAG
rnacentral:tRNA from 1 species